CUCUUUGAAAUCCAUCUGCCCAACAGUUGCAAGCCCCAGCUGCUGCCUUGAGGCUUCAGGCGGUGGGGAGAGAAUCAAUUAUCCGACCUCAGCCGCUGCAGCCUGUGCCCCAGCCACGCCUAUGAAGCUGCGCUUAAUGUGGACCUAAGCACUCCAACAACUGCCUUUUGCCCGUGGUCCCCACCUGGCAACGCGAUAAACAUGGUCUCCGCUAUCAGGAGAGUUUAGCAACACCGGAGAUAGGGACCAGCAUGCACUGCACCUUCCGUGUCAGACGCCUUGUGCACAAUUCAAGACGGGAAGCCCCAGCAUCAAGUGUCUGCCGCCACUUCUGCUGCCUGCUGCCUGCUGCCAUGCUUCCCCGCCAGGAUAGACUCUGACCUGCAGGAAUUAUCAGCCCCAAAACAAACCUUUUCUUCUAUAAGUCACCUUGUUCAUGUGUUUAUGACAAUGCCGGAAAGGGAGGAAAGGUUUCCUGUGGCUUACUGUUCAGUGACACACAACCUAUCAAAGCAUGGUGCAGAAGAGCAGAACAAGAGGCAGCUCUGAGUGCUUGUUGGCCAGCUUUCUCUACAUAGCCCUGGCUGUCCCUGAACCCACUAUAUACAACAGGCUGACCUUGAACUCACACGCACCACCACACCCAGCCCCAUGCAAAAAGAGCCAGUCCCUACUCCAACCCCAGAAGUGGGUAGGCUGGGAAGAAGGCUUCGGCAGCAGAGUAUCGCUGCCUUCAGGAGGAGACACGGCAGCUUAGGAGGGCCAAGGAAGGCUUGCCUUCAUCCCAGGUUAUACCUAAGGUGAAGUGCUCUAGGCAUGGACCACCUGGACUUAAGGGGGUUUGGGAGGUCACCUCUUCCUUUGGCUAUGGUCUUCUUCACAAGGCUAGAGGGACAUAUUUACAGCUAUCACCUCUGACUCUAGAUAUCAUCCUUUGGGUAACCAGGAAUGCAGUCUGUCUAAGUGGCCUCCAGUCUGAUCUCAGGGCCAACACAGGCCUCUCUUGUCUGAGCUCUUCUCUCAGAGUGGAUGUCAACUGCUUACUCAGAAGCCUCAGGGCUGACAGCACAUGCAGGUGGUGGUGCUGGAGAGAUAGCUAGUGGGACAGUGCUGUUGAUUAGCUUUAGACACAGGGAUAGGGUCCACUCAUCCAAGGCCUCAAGUGUUCUAAAGAUUGAAGCUGGGGGCUGGAAUAGAAGCAAGGAUAAGAUACAGGCCCAUAAACGUCUAUUGAGGCUACAGAGAUGGCUCAGUGGUUAAGAGCACCAACUGCUCUUCCAGAGGUCCUGAGUUCAAUUCCCAGCAACCAUAUGGUGGCUCACAACCAUCUGUAAUGGAAUUUGGUGCCCUCUUCUGGUGUGUCUGAAGACAGCAACAGCAACAGUGUAUUCAUACAUUAAAUAAAUAAACCUAAAACAAAACAAAA
rnacentral:lncRNA from 1 species